rnacentral:rRNA from 1 species
AUGGAGGGCUGUGACUGCAUCGAGCCGUUCUGGCCGACCGACGAGCUCCUCAUCAAGUACCAGUACAUCUCAGACUUCUUCAUAGCCCUCGCCUACUUCUCCAUCCCACUCGAGCUCAUCUACUUCGUCAAGAAGUCGUCAUUCUUCCCCUACCGAUGGGUGCUCAUCCAGUUCGGCGCCUUCAUCGUCCUCUGUGGGGCCACCCACCUCAUAAACCUCUGGACCUUCACCAUGCACACCAAGACCGUCGCCAUCGUCAUGACCGUCGCCAAGGUCUCCACGGCCGUCGUGUCCUGUGCGACCGCCCUCAUGCUAGUUCAUAUCAUACCCGACCUGCUCAGCGUCAAGACGAGGGAGCUGUUUCUCAAGAAGAAGGCCGACGAGCUUGACAGGGAAAUGGGACUGAUACGCACGCAGGAGGAGACGGGGAGGCAUGUCAGAAUGCUCACCCAUGAGAUCAGGAGCACGCUUGACAGGCACACCAUCUUGAAGACUACUCUGGUUGAGCUCGGGAGGACGCUGGGUCUGGAGGAAUGUGCCUUGUGGAUGCCAUCACGGAGCGGUUCUAGCCUUCAGCUAACUCAUACUCUGCGCCACCCGAUCCCGGGUGGCUCGUCUGUGCAGAUCAAUCUUCCUGUUGUCAAUCAAGUCUUCAGUAGCAACCGGGCGAUCAUUGUGCCGCAUACGUCUCCGUUGGCAAGGAUCCGCCCUGUUCAAGGCCGGUAUGUCCCACCGGAGGUGGCUGCUGUGAGAGUCCCCCUGCUGCACCUUUCAAACUUCCAGAUAAAUGACUGGCCCGAGCUUUCGGCGAAAAGCUACGCGAUUAUGGUUUUGAUGCUCCCGUCUGAUAGCGCGAGGAAAUGGCAUGUCCAUGAACUGGAGCUCGUCGAGGUCGUCGCCGAUCAGGUAGCUGUUGCCCUCUCUCAUGCUGCUAUUCUUGAAGAAUCCAUGCGAGCACGUGAUCUACUGAUGGAUCAAAAUGUGGCCCUAGAUUUAGCUCGGCGAGAGGCUGAAAUGGCAAUACGUGCUCGCAAUGACUUCCUAGCUGUGAUGAAUCAUGAAAUGCGAACCCCGAUGAACGCGAUAAUAGCCCUCUCCUCCUUGCUACUAGAAACUGAACUUACCCCUGAGCAGCGCCUAAUGGUGGAAACGGUGCUGAAGAGCAGCAACCUUUUAGCGACGCUCAUCAAUGACGUCUUGGAUCUUUCGAAACUCGAGGAUGGUAGUUUCGAACUGGAUAUAAGCGCAUUCAAUCUUCAUGCUGUUUUCAAAGAGGUGAUGAGUUUCGUCAAGCCGAUUGCAGCCAUAAAAAAACUCUCUGUGUCGGUUAUGUUAUCCCCUGACUUGCCUCUAUCUGCCAUCGGUGAUGAGAAGCGACUCAUGCAAACUAUUCUGAACGUCUGCGGCAAUGCCGUUAAGUUUACCAAGGAGGGCCACAUCUCGCUCUUAGCGUCGGUUGUGAAGCCUGACGCUCUAAGAGAGUUCAGAAGCACCGAUUUCCAUCCGGUCGCGACCGAUGGACAUUUCUAUGUAAAAGUUCAGGUUAAAGAUACAGGGUGCGGCAUCAGCCCUCAGGACCUAUCCCAUGUGUUCACAAAGUUUGCUCACACGCAGAGCGGCGGGAACCAGGGGUACAACGGCAGCGGCCUCGGGCUCGCCAUUUGCAAGAGGUUUGUGAGCCUGAUGGGCGGGCACAUAUGGCUGGAGAGCGAUGGGGCCGGAAAGGGCUGCACGGCGACGUUCGUAGUGAAGCUGGGGGCCUGUGACGCGUACCAGCAGCCGGCGGUCCCUCUGGUGUGGCCGAGCCACGCCGGCUCCGACCCGUCUGGCCCGUCGGCGGCGGCUCGCUGGGAAGAGAGAGGGCUGUCUAACCUGAAACCUAGGUACCAGAGGAGUAUAUGA